UACAGAGGGUGCGAGCGUUAAUCGGAAUUACUGGGCGUAAAGCGCACGUAGGUGGCGACGUAAGUCGGGUGUGAAAGCCCCGGGCUCAACCUGGGAAUUGCAUUCGAGACUGCAUUGCUGGAGUACGGAAGAGGAGGGCGGAAGUCCCGGUGUAGCGGUGGAAUGCGUAGAUAUCGGGAGGAACAUCAGUGGCGAAGGGGGCCCUCUGGUCCAGUACUGUCACUCAAGUGCGAAAGCGUGGGGAGCAAACAGG
rnacentral:rRNA from 1 species